rnacentral:rRNA from 1 species
UACAGAGACUGCAAGCGUAUUCGGAUUCACUGGGCGUAAAGGGUGCGCAGGCGGCCGUGUGUGUCAGGUGUGAAAGCCCGGAGCUUAACUCCGGAAUUGCGCCUGAAACUACAUGGCUAGAGCAUUGGAGAGGGUAGCGGAAUUCACGGUGUAGCAGUGAAAUGCGUAGAUAUCGUGAGGAACACCAGAGGCGAAGGCGGCUACCUGGACAAUUGCUGACGCUCAGGCACGAAAAGCGUGGGGGAGCAAAAGGG